UCCCAAAGUGUUGGGAUUGCAGGUGUGAGCCACCACGCCCCAGUCAGUAAAGUUGGUAUACAACUUCCCACUGCUAAAUUUGACUGGCUUAAAAAAAAAACAAAAACAAAGAAGAGCUGUGGAAGGGCCUGUCAAUUAUCAGAGAAGCUGGAUUAGAAUCCCCUUCCCAACAACAUACACAUCAGAGAUUUUGUCCAGGUGGCAGAAAAGUAGAAUUUUGCAGAGCACUCAGCUGUAGCUGAUCCACCAGUUGAAUAAUUGAGGAAGAUAGUGAUUUGUGAAAUACAAAUAAACAUGAUAUAUAUUGAAAGAAAAAUUAUAGCCUAGUGGUCACAGGUCCUGGUCUUAAAAGCUUGCUAGCUUGAGGGUAUUGAUCAUGUUGAAAGAGCCAGGCCAGUAGAGGAGAAGCAGAAUUACCAGAAAUGCUGGCUCUAUUCUGCCCACUCAUGGCAGGCCCCACCUUUCUCUUGUCUUUUUAUUCCCACACUUCCACAGUGGGUGUGGCAGAGUUCUGCUUGCCCAGCCUUUAAUCCUGGAACAUCUGCUACCAGAGGUUGACCCUGACUGGGCUAGGCCCACAGGCCACUUACAGGCAUUAUAUUCCCUUCCCCUUCAGACAAACAGGAAGCUGCCUGCACACUCUUAGUGAUUGGCACUUUCAGAAGCUUUUUGGGGCAGGGAGAGCAAAACGUUGAGAUCAGACUCCAAAAGGAAAAGGAAAUGAUAUUUUAAAUAAUUUCCUGGGUUACUUGAGAAGGUGUGGAUCCACAGUAUCUCCAGGCAUUUAUUGUAGGCCAGGCUUGUAGGAAUAUUUGUGUUUCCAUACUUGGUGUUUUGACUUUGGGGAAGUCCCUUAAACUCCCUGAGCCUCCCCUUCUCCCAUUGGUAAAGUGGGAAUGAUAAUGUGUUAACCUUAGAAUUGGUGGUGGGAAACUUGGAUAAGUUAACAUUGGAAGGCUCUGAAAUGUUAGCUCUGUAGAAAAUCAAGUGUACAGGAUUCAGGUGCUCAAAGAAGUUUAAAUCAUGUUUUAAUAGUCUCUGUUGACAAAAGUAGUAGUGUGUCAGUAGAUGAAAGACUUUUAGCUCACCAUUAAGAAUGGUUAUGAUCCUUAAAAGGGUGAGCCUCCGUUAUCAGAAAAUGUCCCCUUCUGUGGAACAGCUCAUUUAUAGACCAUUUAGGACCAAUGAGGCAUUGCCACAUAAUCAUCUCUUAACUAUCCAUAAUAAAACUCUCUUUUCAGCUACCUGUGGAUUGCCUAUUCUAAAUAAGGUGAGCCCAGGGAAUACCAGCUCUUCUGAUAGUCCAAAUAACACAUAAUUAGUUAUGCAAACCUGUCCCAAAAGUUCCCAGGGUGAAAUGGUUAGGUUGCUAUUGAGUAAUCCAUAGAGUAUUACUCUUAUGUUGCCGUGGGUAACUGACCUUCACUAUAAAGGCAAAUGGUUAACUUUGCACUCUGGAGCAAGGAAAGUGAUAGACUUCUAUUUCUCAGGUCAUUUGUGAUCUCACUGACCAUCCCUGCAGCUGCGAACUCAGAGGCAGCACAUUUAUGAGAAUGGGAUUGGAAAGGAGGCAAUCCUUCAAAGAUUGGAGGUUGAGAAGACAUGGUUGAGUGUGCCCUGCAUAGAAUUUUAUUCCAGGGAGAGUUGAGUAGGUCUCCCUUCACUACACUCUGUUGGUAUUGUCCUUUGGCAAGAAGAGCCAAACUUAAAGAAAAUCUUAAAAGAGCCAUUAAGGAUCUCUUGGUGCAAGUUCUUCUGGAACCUCUAGCGAUUUAACAACCCAGAAAAGGAAAUUGCAGGGUUAGGAGUCUGGAAAGGAGUUAUAAGUUUAGGGGAUAGCUGCCCAUUUUCCAAAUAGUUUUCUGUUUAAAAUAGCCAAGUCAGAUGCGAAUUGAAGGAAUCUCUUCACAGGUUGGCUGGCAUUGCCCUGUAAUGCUCUUUCAGUGCCCAGCUAAUGAUAAUUCUCUACAUGUGUAAUAAGUUUCAUAGUUGUAAAACUCUUACUAUGUCAUUUGGUAUUCAUCAACUCUCUUCAGUUGGCAGGUUAGGAAUUAUUAUUAUUAUUUUUUAAUUUUUAAAAAUACAGACACAGUUUCACUGUGUUGACCAGGCUAGUCUUAAGCUCCUGGGCUCAAGUGAUCUGCCCACUUCAGCCUCCCAAAGUGUUGGAAUUACAGGUGUAAGCCACCACACCCAGCCAGAAAUUAUUAUCUUUACUUUUACAUAAGGGAGAACUGAGGCUCAAAGACUUUAAGUGACUGCAAAAAUUACUCAGCUAAUGAGUAAUGGAGACAAGGCUUGAUUGGGAGACGGAAGACUUUGGUUUUAGACUAUGCAUAGGGUGGAGUGUGGGAAGGGAAGGCAGUGUUGUUUCAUAAAGGCCUGGACUUAAGCUCUGGUCAUGGUUAGGUCAGAGUUCUGAAUCUAGAAAGGAAGUUUCAGCUUUAAACAUUUGGCCCUUCCCCCAUUCCAAUGGCUGCCCAACCUCUCUUCAGUUUCUCUUCUAAAAGAUCGUAAGUCAAUACUAAUGUUUAGAGAGAAUUCUAGCACUUGGGGGCUGUGUGGGGAUGGCCACCUGUUAUGUUUUUGUUCUGCCUGCUUGGGGCUUGGUCUGACUCUAGUUUUGCAACUGGCUUCCUGUGUAACCCAUUCUUGGUAGUGUCAGACCACUACUUUCAAAGCUAGUUGUGCCUUCCACUUGGUUGAGCCAAUAACUUAUUCAGUUUUGCCAUGCUCCUGGACAUAUAGGAGUUGCUUGUUAGUACGGGAGAAUUGUUUGGGGGCUGCUUAGACCUAGCUAAUGUAGGGACUUGUUUGUACCUUGGUGGGACCAAGAGCAUCGAUCCAACUUUUUGUUGAGAGGAGGAGGUAUUAGAAAAUCAUGGAAAGGGCACUUUUUUAGUUCAAGAGCUGUUGUUUAUUCUGGGCCCUGCUGUUAGCUUUCCAGAGCAAUCUUGACCAAGACCUUGCUCCUUUUUGGGCCAUAGCCUGUUCCACAAGAGGUUGGUCUGGCUAAUCUCUGAGGGCUAUUUCCUGCUCUGAAGCUCUGAUUUAUUCAGAAAUGUUACACUCCACUAACAAUGGAGACUGGUCUGUCCCACCGUGGGUACAGGAAUGGUGGCACACAUCUCAAAAAUGGUUUUGUUCCAUGGGGAACUGAGCCAAAUGGACAACUUUACUAGCUCUGAAAGGUUAGAAGUGGUCAGCUGUGUCUGAAUUUUGUAAGGCAGCAUAACUGGGUGGAGGGGUGGGCAGGCAAGGGUGGCAGGCAUCAGAGGAUGGAUGAAGGGGUUCUUAGUUUCUUUGCAUUGGGUUAG